GGCCGCGGGAAUUCGAUUAGAGUUUGAUCCUGGCUCAGGAUGAAACGCUGGCGGUCGGCCUAACACAUGCAAGUCGAACGAAGUCUUCGGACUUAGUGGCGGACGGGUGAGUAACACGUGAGAACCUGCCCUGUGGAGGGGGACAACCGUUGGAAACGACGGCUAAUACCCCAUACGCCCUCGGGUGAAAGCUUUUGCGCCAGAGGAGGGGCUCGCGGUCGAUUAGCUAGUUGGUGGGGUAACGGCCUACCAAGGCAGCGAUCGAUAGCUGGUCUGAGAGGACGAGCAGCCACACUGGGACUGAGACACGGCCCAGACUCCUACGGGAGGCAGCAGUGGGGAAUUUUCCGCAAUGGGCGCAAGCCUGACGGAGCCAGACCGCGUGCGGGAAGACGGCCCUUGGGUUGUAAACCGCUUUUCUCAGGGAAGAAGUCAGUGACGGUACCUGAGGAAUCAGCCUCGGCUAACUCCGUGCCAGCAGCCGCGGUAAUACGGAGGAGGCAAGCGUUAUCCGGAAUUAUUGGGCGUAAAGCGUUCGCAGGCGGCUUGGCAAGUCUGCUGUCAAAUCCCGCGGAUCAACCGCGGAUCGGCAGUGGAAACUGUCAGGCUAGAGUUCGGUAGGGGUAGGGGGAAUUCCCAGUGUAGCGGUGAGAUGCGUAGAUAUUGGGAAGAACACCAGUGGCGAAAGCGCCUUACCGGACCGCCACUGACCCUCAGGAACGAAAGCAAGGGGAGCGAAAGGGAUUAGAUACCCCUUAGUCCAGCCGAAACGA
rnacentral:rRNA from 1 species